rnacentral:lncRNA from 1 species
GAGCCAGUGCUAGAGGAUCAGGGAGGCGGUGCUAAAGCCCGCCCAGGCGCAACGGAGGCGGUGGCUCCUUCUCCUCUUAGUUCCUCUCCUGCCCGGCGCUCAGCGGAGCCAGGCGGCUGCAGCUCUCUCUGGCCGCUUGUAAGUCUCUCCGGUUGUUUGUAGCUGCUACGAAUCAGUUACCAGUCCGCUCUGGCCCCGGCCCCAAACGAUCUUCGGCUGCCGGUAGCGCCGCCCGGACCCCCGGCAAGGACUCUGCUCCGAGGGGGAAGUUCUGCAUUCAGUGAGGAUCAACCUCAAUGGUGAGCCAAAGAGCAACA